GACGAACGCUGGCGGCGUGCUUAACACAUGCAAGUCGAACGAAGAGCGAUGGAAGCUUGCUUCUAUCAAUCUUAGUGGCGAACGGGUGAGUAACGCGUAAUCAACCUGCCCUUCAGAGGGGGACAACAGUUGGAAACGACUGCUAAUACCGCAUACGAUCUAAUCUCGGCAUCGAGGAUAGAUGACAGGUGGCCUCUACAUGUAAGCUAUCACUGAAGGAGGGGAUUGCGUCUGAUUAGCUAGUUGGAGGGGUAACGGCCCACCAAGGCGAUGAUCAGUAGCCGGUCUGAGAGGAUGAACGGCCACAUUGGGACUGGGACACGGCCCAGACUCCUACGGGAGGCAGCAGUGGGGAAACUUCCGCAAUGGACGAAAGGCUGACGGAGCAACGCCGCGUGAGUGAUGACGGCCUUCGGGUUGUAAAGCUCUGUUAAUCGGGACGAAAGGCCUUCUUGCGAAUAGUGAGAAGGAUUGACGGUACCGGAAGAGAAAGCCACGGCUAACUACGUG
rnacentral:rRNA from 1 species